CCCAAUGAUGGAAAUUUAAUGGCCGCGGUAUAUUGACCGUGCGAAGGUAGCAUAAUAAUUUGUCUUUUAAUUGAGGACUAGUAUAAAUGGUCGAACAAAAAGUUAGCUGUCUCUGAGUUAUGUCUUGAAUUUAACAUUUAAGUGAAAAGGCUUAAAUAAUUUAAGGGGACGAUAAGACCCUAUAAAUCUUUAUAUUAAUUUGUUGUUAAAUUGGAAAGUAGAAUUAAUUCCGGGUUUAAUAAUUUUGAAUAUUUUGUUGGGGAGACAGAAGUGUAAAUAAAUAACUACUUUAAAAANAAAGUUAAUGAUAUUUAAUGAGGAGAUCCUUUACUAAGGAUUGUAGAANAAGUUACUUUAGGGAUAACAGCGUAAUUUCUUUUGAGAGUCCAUAUCGAAAAGGAAGCUUGCGACCUCGAUGUUGAAUUAAAGAUCCUAUAANGGCGCAGAAGUUAUAAAA
rnacentral:rRNA from 1 species